rnacentral:rRNA from 1 species
UACAGAGGGUGCAAGCGUUGUUCGGAAUUAUUGGGCGUAAAGCGCGUGUAGGCGGCUUUGCAAGUCGGGUGUGAAAGCCCUCAGCUCAACUGAGGAAGUGCGCCCGAAACUGCAGAGCUUGAGUGCCGGAGAGGGUGGCGGAAUUCCCCAAGUAGAGGUGAAAUUCGUAGAUAUGGGGAGGAACACCAGUGGCGAAGGCGGCGAUCUGGGAAGAUACUGACGCUGAGGUGCGAAAGCGUGGGGAGCAAACAGG